CCGUCGGUCAGCCAACGAGUUCCCAGGCGGCGGUCUUGCGGCGAGAAGGCCUCUUCCCUUGGUGGCUUUGGGCAGGUAAAAGGAGGUGCGUCUCCAGGAGGCUCUGCCCUGAUGGGAACACACUGCUGCACAGCACAGCACAGCACAGCACAGCACAGCACAGCACAGCACAGCGGACUGCUUUAUACAGUGCUGAUGGGUUGGAAUUUGGGUUCUGACCGAAGACGGCAAUUACCAAUGAUGUCUCUUGCGCUGAGCGGCAAGUGAACGUCACGCAUCCGGGCCCGCUCUUGCCAUGCAGGAUUCGGCGUGCGCAGCUCGAGCCGAUGACAAGCGCGUUCGCCCGGUUGCCUUUUGGCAAGUGGUCCUGUCUGCCACCACGUCCUGCGCUGUCCUGCGCAGCAGCAUCUUCACUAUUGCAGCCUGCAGCUGGAUGACUUCAGGCUCAGCAUCAGCCUUGCCCAGGGAUCCUGCUUCUGGCAGCACCAUCCUCUUGUCUAAGGGCGUUUGGGAUGCAUCUCCUGUGCCAACGUGACCGACGAGGACCUGGGGGCCGCUGCGUGACUGGCAGCUGCUGCUACAACAACAACCUCGACCGCUCCAUCAUCUGGUGAGUACUGUAACGGAGAUGGGAGGAUGGAAGACUAUUGUGUCUGGGUGAGUGACAUAUGACGGACACCAGGUGGUUGCAGUUCCUUUUUCCUGGGAGACUAUGUUUGCAACCCACUGGACAAGCUAAACCUGUCCCUAGAGCGUGUCAGGAAGGCUCCCUGACCAAGCUGUGCCCUUGCCCAAGUGAGCGCUUUCCAGCACGUCUGGGAUUUUAACCAUGUCUUGACCCUAUCAGUGUCACCAAAGUAGUUUUAUUCUUAAAGUAUGUCUUUACAAAGAAGCUGGCUUAGCCUCUCUUAAAAAGAAAACAAAACCAAACUGUAAUUAGUAGACCAACAAACCAUCAGUGGUCCCAAAACAAGUAUUUUUGAACUUAAUCUACAGCACCCCUGUACAGUUGUUUUUAUUCUGCUGUUACUCUGCUUUUAAUUAAAGCUGCCUCCACACUCUUUGUUCCAGAAGCCUUUGUAAGCCGCGAGCUGCGAAGAACAGGCAGCCUAAAAAAUGACGCAUCUACUUUGUCUUGCCAAGAGGAUCCUAGGACGAAGCAUGGAAAAAUCCUAGCUAUUUCUUUUUUUCCUUGAUGACUGAAGGAAAGUUAAGUUAGUCUGUACAUAUGUGUGCAUACAUUUAGUCUGUUCAUAAGUACCCGCUUUCUUGAGGAAGCCCUCGGCAGCACAGCAAGCUGCAUCGGUUAUGGAUUACUGUCUGCUCAUCUACCCUGGAGCAGCAACAGCUGCAUGCUGAUUUCAGGUAUGGCCAUUACUGCUUAAAAAUACCAGAAAUGCUUAAGAUUUGCUAAUACAGCUAGAGAGUAGAUUUAAACAGUUUAAAAAACAAACAAACAAACAAAACCACCAAAGGGAUGGAGCUGUAUCUAACACACAGCGUUUUCUCAAGGACUGAGGCUAAUACUGUUGUCA
rnacentral:lncRNA from 1 species